rnacentral:tRNA from 1 species
GGGUCGGUAGCUCAAAUGACAGAGCGCUUGGUCUCCAAAACCAAGAGGUGAAGGUAAAAAUCCUUCGCGGCCCG